ACCUUGCUGGCUCAGUUGGUAGAGCAUGGGACUUCUUGAUCUCACGGGUUGUGAGUUCAAGCCCCACGUUGAGUG
rnacentral:tRNA from 1 species